GCCACGCAUGGUGACACAUGUCUGUAAUCCCAGCUACUUGGGAAGCAGAGGCCAGAGGAUCACAAGUUCCAGGGCAGCCUGGACAACUUAGUGAGACCUUGUCUCAA
rnacentral:sRNA from 1 species